rnacentral:rRNA from 1 species
CCUACGGGGGGCAGCAGUGGGGAAUAUUGCACAAUGGGCGAAAGCCUGAUGCAGCAACGCCGCGUGAAGGAAGAAGGGUUUCGGCUCGUAAACUUCUAUCAACAGGGACGAAAGAAAUGACGGUACCUGAAUAAGAAGCCCCGGCUAACUACGUGCCAGCCGCCGCGGUAAAACGUCGGGGGCAAGCGUUCUCCGGAAUUACUGGGUGUAAAGGGUGAGUAGGCGGCAUGGUACGGCAGAAGUGAAAGCCCUGGGGUUAACCCGAGGAUUGUAUUUGCAACUAUCAAGCUAGAGUACAGGAGAGGAAAGCGGAAUGCCUAGUGUAGCGGUGAAAUGCGUAGAUAUUAGGAAGAACACCAGUGGCGAAGGCGGCUUUCUGGACUGAAACUGACGCUGAGGCACGAAAGCGUGGGGAGCGAACAGGAUUAGAUACCCCGGUAGUC